GCUGGGAUGGCCGAGUCGUUAAGGCGAGUGAUUUGAACUCACAACAUCACUUGGUGUUUCACCGCGUAGGUUCAAAUCCUGCUUCCAGCG